GGCGGGGUUCUAAUUGCGUGCGCGUAUGGAUGCUUCUUUCCCCGCCGCNCUUUCUAACAACUAGAAAUGUUUUGAUGUGUCGUUGGUCCGGCGUACGACGGCGCCUGAUGCGAUUUAUGCGUCCGGAAGCCCUUUCAGCCUCCAGGCAUGUCCCCACCUGCCUCACAGCCACCGACGCAUCUCACGGCGGGGUUCUAAUUGCGUGCGCGUAUGGAUGCUUCUUUCCCCGCCGCCUUUCUAACAACUAGAAAUGUUUUGAUGUGUCGUUGGUCCGGCGUACGACGGCGCCUGAUGCGAUUUAUGCGUCCGGAAGCCCUUUCAGCCUCCAGGCAUGUCCCCACCUGCCUCACAGCCACCGACGCAUCUCACGGCGGGGUUCUAAUUGCGUGACCGUAUGGAUGCUCCUAUUCCUGCCGCCUUUCUAACAACUAGAAAUGUUAUGAUGCUUCGUUGGUCCGGCGUACGACGGCGCCUGGUGCGAUUUAUGCGUCCGGAAGCCCUUUCAGCCUCCAGGCAUGUCCCCACCUGCCUCACAGCCACCGACGCAUCUCACGGCGGGGUUCUAAUUGCGUGCGCGUAUGGAUGCUCCUAUUCCUGCCGCCUUUCUAACAACUAGAAAUGUUUUGAUGUGUCGUUGGUCCGGCGUACGACGGCGCCUGAUGCGAUUUAUGCGUCCGGAAGCCCUUUCAGCCUCCAGGCAUGUCCCCACCUGCCUCACAGCCACCGACGCAUCUCACGGCGGGGUUCUAAUUGCGUGACCGUAUGGAUGCUCCUAUUCCUGCCGCCUUUCUAACAACUAGAAAUGUUAUGAUGCUUCGUUGGUCCGGCGUACGACGGCGCCUGGUGUGAUUUAUGCGUCCGGAAGCCCUUUCAGCCUCCAGGCAUGUCCCCACCUGCCUCACAGCCACCGACGCAUCUCACGGCGGGGUUCUAAUUGCGUGCGCGUAUGGAUGCUCCUAUUCCUGCCGCCUUUCUAGUAACUAGUUGAUGUUUUGAUGCAUCGUUGGUCCGGCGUACGACGGCGCCUGGUGCGAUUUAUGCGUCCGGAAGCCCUUUCAGCCUCCAGGCAUGUCCCCACCUGCCUCACAGCCGCCGACGCAUCUCACGGCGGGGUUCUAAUUGCGUGCGCGUAUGGAUGCUGCAUAUUCCUGCCGCCUUUCUGGCAUCUAGUUGAUGUUUUGAUGCAUCGUUGGUCCGGCGUACGACGGCGCCUGGUGCGAUUUAUGCGUCCGGAAGCCCUUUCAGCCUCCAGGCAUGUCCCCACCUGCCUCACAGCCGCCGACGCAUCUCACGGCGGGGGUCUAAUUGCGUGCGCGUAUGGAUGCUUCUUUCCCCGCCGCCUUUCUAACAACUAGAAAUGUUAUGAUGUAUCGUUGGUCCGGCGUUGGUCCGGUGUGUUAGCUUAGGCCGCAUUAAGCUUGACGCAACGAGCCUUCAUACGCUUGAAACGCAACAUUUGUUUGCAUGCAAAUUGCGUUGCGAUAUGUGUGCGUUUGGUAAGUGUUAGGCUGCGUUAAGCUUUACGCAAUGAGCCUUUAUACGCAUGAAACGCAGCAUGUAUUAGCAUGCGAAAUGCGUGGCGACAUGUGUGCGUUUGGCGAGUGUUAGGCCGCGUUAAGCUUUACGCAAUGAGCCUUUAUACGCAUGAAACGCAGCAUGUAUUAGCAUGCGAAAUGCGUUGCGAAAUGUGUGCGUAAGGUGAGUGUUAGGCCGCGUUAAGCUUUACACAAUCAGCCUU
rnacentral:lncRNA from 1 species